rnacentral:miRNA from 1 species
CUGCCUCAGACCUAGACACCUCCAGUUCUGGGUUCUCAGAGGCCUAAUCCUCUAUAAACUCAGUUUUCAAACUGUGAGAGAAAUUCUUUGUGUUACUGCUUU